rnacentral:rRNA from 1 species
UACGUAGGGGGCAAGCGUUGUCCGGAUUUAUUGGGCGUAAAGGGCGUGUAGGCGGCUAGGUAGGUCCGUUGUGAAAACUCGAGGCUCAACCUCGAGACGUCGAUGGAAACCAUCUAGCUAGAGUCCGGAAGAGGAGAGUGGAAUUCCUGGUGUAGCGGUGAAAUGCGCAGAUAUCAGGAAGAACACCCGUGGCGAAGGCGGCCCACUGGGCCGGUACUGACGCUGAGGCACGAAGGCGUGGGGAGCGAACAGG